AACCCGCUGAACUGCCAUGCAAGGACGGGGACUUGUUUCCAGUUAAAGAUCCAAACGGUGGGAUGAGAAGAAACAGCCAGAGGGCUGCAGUCCCCGGGGAGGCCAGACAGUAAUGUUGCUUGUGGUGAUAGCAGCAGGCAGCAGGACCCGGGCCUCCGUCUGGGCUUCCUCUGUCAGGAACCAGCUGUGUAAGCCACCGGCCACCUCUUCCCUUCUUGCAUCCUCUGUUCUCAGACACCUCUCCUUUGCUUCUGUGCACCUUACCUGACGGCCACUACGGCUCAUUCUCCUCUACCUCGGAUCCUUCUUAUCCAUCCUCCUGCCCGACAAUAUUGGUGUGCGAGUCAAAGUAGUUGCCCCGACCUUUUUUAAAAACAUUUCACAGAUCAUCACCUUCACCAACGGUAUUAAUUUUAGUUUAAUAUGUCUAUUUUUUUCUUCUUUGUUUUUGUCUGCCUGAUCGUUUACAAUAUAACUGAGAUCCCCAGUCAAUUGUGGUUGAACGAAUGAGUGAUCAUUAUUAAUGCAUGCCUACUAUGCGUCACAGCCACAUUGUCCUUUGUUAUAAAAUGUUACUCUUUUACUCCGCCACAAAUUUCAUAUUAAUAACCUGUAGAAGCACUUGUCCGUUAGAGGAGACUUUUCCACGAAUAAAGCUGGAAGACAGUGAGAAAAGGAUUGGAAAGAUGAUGAUGAUGAUAUUUCUGGUAUCCUGGCAAAUAUAAGUCUUUCAUUCCUAAUUUAGUUUACUAACAACAGAGACACAUAUCUGGAUUGUUAAGUUGUUGAAUUGCACUUUUUUUUAAUAUCAGAUCUUUUUCUCUUCCAGUCAUUUUGUUCCUCGCCAAAGACUAUUUGUUCAAACAAAUGUGGAAAUUGUGAAUUGUCAAACCUGUGAAAUCACAACCUUUUAGUUAACUUGAUGGUAAUCAGUUUAUCUCCUGAGACCCAAGCAUUUGUUUGGACUUUCUUUAAAAUAAGAUUAAGAAUAAGUAUAACUAAACUAAAGUGUAUCGACCCUGUGUAUCGUGUAUCGCUACCGGUACAUGGGAGACAAACGUGUCCCCAUGUGAUGAUGAAGGGUCUCAGGAGGUUAAAACUACUUAUUGAAAGAGCCCAAAAGCUGACAUUAAUUAUUCCUCAUGCUGUCUUUACAGUAAAUAAUAUAAUAAUUAAACAAAGUAAAAAAUCUAAAAUUCUACUUCUCUCGGAAAAAUAAAAAUAAACUUGAGAGCAGCAAGCAGAAACAUAAUCAAAUAUAAGAUGUGGACAGCGCCUCUCAGUGACCCCCGCCCCGCGAACAUUUGUCAGAUGACGUACACCAGAAUUAGGAACCAAGUGAGUGACAUCUCCCACUCGAUUAUAAAAAGAAACGUGUUCUGCUGUGUCGACUUGUUCUCCUUAGACAUGCGUGCGCCGCAGAUGGCGGUGAGAUUUGCAGCUUUCGUUCAUCCAUCCCACUAAACAGUGCCGGCGACAGCCGACAGUCACCUCUAAGUGGAGAAGUAGAAAAGCAGAGUUUCGCCCAUCCUUAGACGCAAACUCCGCUAAGCUGGAACAGCUGAAGGUGGCUCUCCUGUGAAACUCUAGCAACCUUGUGGCCGUCACCUCGCCGACCUCUGACCCUCGCCCCCACGACUCAUUAAACCCUAACCCUGAUGGAGUGGCUUGUGCUUACGGGACAAACACAUAUUUUUUUUUUUUUUUUUUGGGUGCAAGUGGUGCGCUGAUGAGAGAAGUGAGAGGGGAUGUGAGUACACAGAUGUGCCAAGUGCCUGGCUGAAACCAACACACAGAUGGUCAUCACAAGAGAGGAACCUCAGAGAGUUUGGUCCAUAUUGACAUGACAGCAUCACACAGUUGCUGCAGAUUUGU